rnacentral:rRNA from 1 species
CUAAUACCGCAUAUAACUCCUGGUGAGAAUCCGGGAAGUAAAAGCUCCGGCGCUACGAGAGGGGCCCGCGGCCGAUUAGCUUGUUGGUGGGGUAAUGGCCUACCAAGGCGACGAUCGGUAGCUGGUCUGAGAGGAUGGUCAGCCACACGGGGACUGAGAUACGGCCCCGACUCCUACGGGAGGCAGCAGCUAAGAAUCUUGCGCAAUGGGCGAAAGCCUGACGCAGCAAUUCCGCGUGGAGGACGAAGGCCCUCGGGUCGUAAACUCCUUUUGCGAGGGAAGAAGUUCUGACGGUACCUCGCGAAUAAGCCACGGCUAACUACGUGCCAGCAGCCGCGGUAAUACGUAGGUGGCGAGCGUUGUCCGGAUUUAUUGGGCGUAAAGAGCCCGCAGGCGGCUUGGCAAGUUUCGAGUGAAAUCUCCCGGCUCAACUGGGAGGGCGCUCGGAAAACUGCCAGGCUUGAGGCAGGGAGAGGGAUGUGGAAUUCCCGGUGUAGUGGUGAAAUGCGUAGAUAUCGGGAG